rnacentral:SRP_RNA from 1 species
GCCGGGCGCGGUGGUGGGCACCUGUAAUCCCAGCUACUUGGGAGGCUGAGGCAGGAGAAUCGCUUGAACCCGGGAGGCAGAGGUUGCAGUGAGCUGACAUCACGCCACUGCACUCUUGCCUGGGUGACAGAGCAAGACUCCGUCUCAA